rnacentral:rRNA from 1 species
AAAAUCAUUUGUUUUUUAAUUGAAAACUGGAAUGAAAGAGUGCAUGAAAUAUAAGUUGUCUCAAUAUAAUUAAUUGAAUUUAAAUUAAAAGUUAAAAUGCUUUUAUAUAUUUAUAAGACGAUAAGACCCUAUAGAAUUUAAUAAAAUUUAUUUUUUAAAAUUAAUAUUUUUAAUAAAAUUUAAUAAAUAAUUAUAUUUUAUUGGGAGGAUAGUUAAAUUAAUUAAACUUUAAUAAUUAGUUAACAUAGAUUAAUGAAUUAUUUGAUUAUUAUUAUAAUUAUUAGAAUAAAUUACCUUA